ACCUGGGUGGCUCAGUGGGUUGAGCAUCCGACUUCAGUUCAGUUCAUGAUCUUAUAGUUCGUGGGUUCAAGCCCCACAUCAGGCU
rnacentral:tRNA from 1 species